rnacentral:rRNA from 1 species
UACGGAGGGGGGCUAGCGUUGUUCGGAAUUACUGGGCGUAAAGCGCACGUAGGCGGCUUUGUAAGUUAGAGGUGAAAGCCCAGGGCUUAACCCUGGAAUUGCCUUUAAGACUGCAUCGCUAGAAUCGUGGAGAGGUGAGUGGAAUUCCGAGUGUAGAGGUGAAAAUUCGUAGAUAUUCGGAAGGAAACACCAGUGGCGAAGGCGACUCACUGGACACGUAU